UAGUCGAUAGUCUCGAGGGGAAGUCUUUCAAGGUUCGAGUGGAGAAAGGUUCCGCGUGAUCAGUAAUUGGACAUGGGUGAUUUGAUCCUAAGAGAUAUAAAAAUUCGUUUGAGAUCUCGGCUGUUUGGGACGUGGGUUCGUCCUUGCGUUUUGUAUGUAUCCUCGUGUAUCGAAAGGGAACUCGUUUUAAAGUCAUAAACCGAGACGUGAUAAUAUGUGGUAACACAACCCAAACCAGAAGACGCUGGCGUGAGCCCAGGGAAGAGUUCUCUUUCUUUUUCAACAUGCAUAUACUUCCUUGGAAUCGGAUUACUCGGAGAUAAGGAGGAUGCCUUGGCAAAGCACUUUUAUUUGUGAAGUGUUCUGUGCGCCCAUGAUAGCCCUCGAAAGUCCAGCCUAGAGAUUUAUUCGCACCCUCGUUCGUACCAAAAUCGCAUCAGGUCUCCAAGGUGAGUAGCCUUUAGUU
rnacentral:ncRNA from 1 species